GCCUGGUCAACUUUGUGGGUGUUUAGAAAAGCAACGGGAGGACUCCCACCAAACUUGUUUUUAUACUUUUCUGGCCAAUUAUAUUAAUUCGAAUGCUGAAUUUGGAUUGCUUAAUAUUAAAAAAAGAUACUAUUAAGGGGCCUUCCUUCAUGCCAGGUCAAUAUUAUAUCAAGAACCAUAGCAGAUUUAUUGUGUAACCACAAGGCUUGCUGUAGGGACUGAUAUAAUGUAGCUCUGGUGUAUACAAGAUGCUUACAGUAAUUUUGGAUAUACUGCUUUGUUGUGUUAUCACAAGAGUAGUUAUAUUCAAUUUUGACUGUAUAGAAAUGAAGGGUCAUACUUAACUAGAACAUUAUAGUUUGUUAUGUAACCACAAGACUAUUAAUAUUUUAGAGGCCAG
rnacentral:lncRNA from 1 species